rnacentral:ncRNA from 2 species
GUUUUGCAUCACGAGAAGGGCUGACGUCCUCGCCAACCUGCCAACCUGGGCAAGGUGGUUGCCGCCAAGCGGCGAUGCGGUCUAUACCGACAACCAAUCAGGUAUCC